GGGGAAUUUUCCGCAAUGGGGGCAACCCUGACGGAGCAAUACCGCGUGGGGGAGGAAGGCUCUUGGGUCGUAAACCCCUUUUCUCAGGGAAGAACACAAUGACGGUACCUGAGGAAUCAGCAUCGGCUAACUCCGUGCCAGCAGCCGCGGUAAUACGGAGGAUGCAAGCGUUAUCCGGAAUCAUUGGGCGUAAAGCGUCCGCAGGUGGUGCUUCAAGUCUGCUGUUAAAGCCCGGGGCUUAACCCUGGAGGAGCAGUGGAAACUGGGGCGCUGGAGUGCGGUAGGGGUAGAGGGAAUUCCCGGUGUAGCGGUGAAAUGCGUAGAUAUCGGGAAGAACACCAGUGGCGAAAGCGCUCUGCUGGACCGCAACUGACACUCAUGGACGAAAGCUAGGGGAGCGAAUGGGAUUAGAUACCCCAG
rnacentral:rRNA from 1 species